ACGAAACAGAAAGUACGCAGAUUAUGGAUACACUUAAGAAAUAUAUAUGUGGUACCAUGAACUUUCGACCAUGUAGCUACUCACGUAAUGUAGACAUCAAAUGUUUGUGUAUAAAUAAUAUUUUACAAAGUAAACAUGGUCAAGCUAUCAUUAUAUUUGCAAUAUUUCAUAGCGUGGCUAGAAGACUUGGUCUACGUUGCGAUAUAAUACUUAUUUGGCCUCGCUAUUGUAUAUUUUGGAGACCGAAAUUCGUCACAAGUAGUUUAAAAAAUGCACAAUGCUUUCACAUAAAA